AACCCAACCGGGGUCAUACCCGGUUAUCUCCUAGUGAGAAGCAAACCAGGGGAACUGAACCAUCUAAGUACCCUGAGGAAGAGAAAGAAAAAUCUACUCCCCCAGUAGCGGCGAGCGAAAAGGGAAGAGCCCAAACCUACCGAUUGUAAGGGCGCAACCGUUUUUCGGUAGGGGUUGUAGGGCUGUACUUGGGGCCAUUGCGAGGGCCCCGGGGAGUUACAAAUCCGUCGAUUAGUGGAACGGCUCUGGAAAGUGCCGGCCAUAGUGGGUGAUAGCCCCGUACACGAAAAUCGUACGGACUCCCUUGUGCAGUUCCUGAGUACCACGGGACACGUGAAACCCUGUGGGAACCUGGGAGGACCAUCUCCCAAGGCUAAGUACUACUCGGUGACCGAUAGUGAACAAGUACCGUGAGGGAAAGGUGAAAAGUACCCCGAUGAGGGGAGUGAAAUAGUACCUGAAACCGUAUGCUUACAAGGUGUGGGAGCUCCCUCGGGAGUGACCGCGUGCCUCUUGCAUAAUGAGACGGCGACUUAUGGUGUGUAGCAAGGUUAAGGGGUAAGACCCGGAGCCGAAGUGAAAGCGAGCCUGAAUAGGGCGAUUUAGUUGCACGCUGUAGACCCGAAGCCAGGUGAUCUACCCAUGGUCAGGUUGAAGCGGGGGUAAAACCUCGUGGAGGACCGAACCCACUGGAGUUGAAAAUCCAGGGGAUGAACUGUGGGUGGGGGUGAAAGGCCAAUCAAACCUGGAGAUAGCUGGUUCUCGCCGAAACCUAUUUACGUAGGGCGUCAUGCAAUUACCGUCGGGGGUAGAGCACUGGAAGGGCUAGGGGCCCCACAGGGUUACCAACCCCUACCAAACUCCGAAUACCGACGAGUACAGCAUGGCAGUCAGACUAUGGGAGAUAAGUUCCAUAGUCGAGAGGGAAAGAGCCCAGACUACCGACUAAGGUCCCCAAAUCCAAGCUAAGUGGCAAAGGCAGUGGAGACUCAAAAACAACCAGGAGGUUGGCUUAGAAGCAGCCACCCUUUAAAGAAAGCGUAAUAGCUCACUGGUCUAGACUUUCUGCGCCGAAAAUAUAACGGGGCUAAAGCUUGGUACCGAAGUCGUAGGAUUCUUAGGAAUCGGUAGGCGAGCGUUCCGUAAGCCGUCGAAGGUGCACCGUGAGGUGUGCUGGAGGUAUCGGAAGUGAUUAUGCCGUCAUGAGUAGCGAUAAAACAGGUUACAAGCCUGUUCGCCGUAAGCCCAAGGUUUCCUGCGCAAGGUUAAACCGCGCAGGGUUAGCCGGCCCCUAAGCCGAGGCCGAAAGGCGUAGGUAAUGGGAAACGGGUUAAUAUUCCCGUGCCUCCUACUGGAGCAGAGCAGGGACGGAGAAGGAUAGCCGAGACACCGUGUGGUAGUGGUGUUUCAAGCAAGUAGGCUGGAGCUGUAGGAAUAAAACGCAGCUCUAAGGCCGAGAUGUGAUGACGAUGGGCUAAGCCCAAUCAAGUCGGUGAUUCCAUGCUUCCUAGAAAAGCUGCGUACUGUAUUGAAGGAUAGGAGACCGUACCCCAAACCAACUCAGGUGGGCGGGGAGAACAUCCCAAGGCGCUUGAGAGAACCCAGGUUAAGGAACUAGGCAAAAGUGCACCGUAACUUCGGGAGAAGGUGUGCCACAUUAUUGUGAUGGGACUUGCUCCCUGAGCGAGAAGUGGUUGCAGUGAACUAGGGGUAGCGACUGUUUACUAAAAACACAGGUCUCUGCUAAGUCGCAAGACGAUGUAUAGGGACUGACGCCUGCCCGGUGCUGGAAGGUUAAGAGGAGUGGUUAGUUCUUCGGAGCGAAGCUGUGAAUCGAAGCCCCAGUAAACGGCGGCCGUAACUAUAACGGUCCUAAGGUAGCGAAAUUCCUUGUCGGGUAAGUUCCGACCUGCACGAAUGGCGUAACGACUUCCCCACUGUCUCGACCUGGGACUCAGCGAAAUUAAAUUGGGCGUGAAGAUGCGUCCUAACCGCGGAAAGACGGAAAGACCCUGUGAACCUUUACUAUAGCUUGGCACUGACGUUUGGAUUGUUAUGUGUAGGAUAGGUGGGAGACUAUGAAGCCGGGCCGCUAGGUUCGGUGGAGUCAUCGUUGAAAUACCACCCUUAGCCGUUUAGGCGUCUAACCCAGGUCGGUUAUCCCGGCCGGGAACAGUGUCUGGUGGGUAGUUUGACUGGGGCGGUCGCCUCCUAAAGAGUAACGGAGGCGCGCGAAGGUUCCCUCAGGCUGAUCGGAAACCAGCCGAAGAGUGCAAAGGCAUAAGGGAGCUUGACUGCGAGACCUACAAGUCGAGCAGGUGCGAAAGCAGGUCUUAGUGAUCCGGUGGUCCCG
rnacentral:rRNA from 1 species